AUAUGGAGGAUCUAACACAAUGACGAAUUUCACAUCGAUGUUUAUGGUGACUGCUACAUUGGGUCCUGAACCUCCUCUUUGUGUUUCAGGAUGUUAAUUUUCCAAUGCUGUUUCUUUAUCACCCUGCGAGUUCAUCUUGUAAUUUAACCUGUUCAGGAAAAUUUCUACUGAGCUUCGUCAUUAGUCGUUCGUACUUUUCAGGUGAUAUGUUAACUCAUUUGUCAGCAUAAAGAUUUCAAUGCAGGUUCCUGGCAGUGCUCUAUCAACUGAAAGGGGAGGUCACAGACAUUGUUUCUGUUGCACUGAGGCUGGAUUACUACAGGUUACUUGAGAUGUAGCAUGCUUUCUUUCUUUCUUUCUUUUUGAUAAAAUGAGCUUAAUAAAGAAUCAAAUACUUAGUCCAGGGAAAUAAGCUGAGUUUCACUCCACCUUUGUUUUCUCAGGGGCGUCUUAAAUGAAUUACCUCAUAAGCAUUUGCUGUUUAAUUAGUUUUCUCAUUAUUAUUUUAAUCAUUAAGAUGACUGCAUUUAUCUAUGAUCUCUCUAUCUAUGCUUUUGCAGUAUGGUUAUAGAAAUUUUGAUCAGAUUGCACACCCAAGAUCCAUACAGCAUUUGCCAGUAUACAAUCGUUGAUCAAUGAUUAGCUUUUGCUUACCUCAGUGAUAACUAUAGAACACCUUAAGGAAAAAUAUAUGAUUAGUAAAACACUAUAUGUUUGGUGGUGUUGGAAUAAUCUUUAAUCAAUGAAGUAGGUUCAUUCAACUAAUGGGACAUAUUUUGUUAAACAGAACAAAAUCAGAGUUGCCUGCUGCAGAAUCUCAAGAUUACCAGGCAGGAAAUCGACCAAAGAUUAGCUUGUAAUGUCCGUGAGCCUUGAUUUCUGGACCAGAGAUAUAUGGUUAACUAACAUCCUCAACUGGGAAUUUAUAAUUUUAUGCUCUCAAACUCAAGUUUCUGACUGAAAACAAAGAAAGCAAUGAUAUGGACAAAAGAAUGUGCAAGUGGAAUGAUGCUGCACAUGGGUACUUUCAAUAUAGUAUUCAUCAGGAUUUUGAUAAAAGGACAUGUGAUUCUUCUAGUCAAGGCCUCUCUCCACUAGGCUUUUUGUCUCUUUAUUUCACGAAUGGACUCGAAGACAAUGCACAAAUACAAACAAACCAUAAUUGUGUGUGCAUGCACAAAACAAAACAUAUUGUUAAGCAACAAAUUCAGUGAUACCUCUUGUUUUCUAUCUGAAAUUUCCUUAUUCCUAUCUGCAUCUUUCACCUAAUACAUCUCUGACCCACUUCUUCUCGUCCUGAAUAUAAUCUCACAAGCCUGUAGUUUACAUCAACAACGGCUUAGACUUGACCGUUUUCCUCUGUCUGAAUGUGUUAAACGAGGCAGUAACUUCUGCCAAGCUAGGCCAUACUUCUUCUUACAAAAAAGAAAAAAGCAAGAGAUCGGCAGUCUAAUCUUAUUCCAAUUAAUACAACUUAUCUAGAAUGAGUUUCUACAGCAACUACGCUCAGGUUACAUAUACACAACUCUUCAUGUAAUAGUAUCCAUAGUAAUUCAACUUUGACAGAAUUUAUCAUUACCUUAAUCUCCCCAUUUGAUGGGCAUAACCACCUUACCUGUAAGUUAAUCAUG
rnacentral:lncRNA from 1 species